UACAUAAUUGAUACGACAUUAACUUGUUCAUUUCUAAUCUAAAUGUAUCCCCAUAUUGAAAACGUUACAUAAGACUUCCGUAACAGUCCAAUGACUGCUGUAAAGUAGAACUGUUUCUACUCUGUUUCGUCUGUUUACUUAUUUUGAUUUUAAAUUUUGAAAUUUGUAAUCGUUCUUCUUUUUCAGACUCACAAUGGACAGGGACCGUUUACCCUUCCAUAACUGGUUUGCUGCUUGUGAAUUUUAUUUUCAUGUAGGCGAGGACAGGCAAUUCAAAACACAAAGAAAUAAUGAUAGCUGUGUGUUGCUACAAAGAACAGACAAUGUGAUGAUGACUAACAGGAAGCGAACCUCAACGAGGAUGACUACAAAGUUGAAUUUUUGAUUAAUUCUAUUCUGGGGAACUGCCCUGACUAUUAUUGGUUAUUUUAAAAUUUGAUAUUUAUAAAUAAAUGAAUAAAUGUGGAUAUAACAGUUCACGGAUGGCUUGAUUAAAACUUAAGUUUUG